UACGAAGGGGGCUAGCGUUGUUCGGAAUUACUGGGCGUAAAGCGCGCGCAGGCGGUUUUCCAAGUCCGUGGGGAAAGCCCGGAGCUCAACUCCGGAAAUGCCAUUGAAACUGUAAAACUUGAGGACGAGAGAGGUGAGUGGAAUUCCCAGUGUAGAGGUGAAAUUCGUAGAUAUUGGGAAGAACACCGGUGGCGAAGGCGGCUCACUGGCUCGUUUCUGACGCUCAGGCGCGAUAGCGUGGGGAUCAAACAGG
rnacentral:rRNA from 1 species